rnacentral:rRNA from 1 species
UAAAGCGCACGCAGGCGGUCUGUCAAGUCGGAUGUGAAAUCCCCGGGCUUAACCUGGGAACUGCAUUCGAAACUGGCAGGCUAGAGUCUUGUAGAGGGGGGGAGAAUUCCAGGUGUAGCGGUGAAAUGCGUAGAGAUCUGGAGGAAUACCGGUGGCGAAGGCGGCCCCCUGGACAAAGACUGACGCUCAGGUGCGAAAGCGUGGGGAGCAAACAGGAUUAGAUACCCUGGUAGUCCACGCCGUAAACGAUGUCGAUUUGGAGGUUGUGCCCUUGAGGCGUGGCUUCCGGAGCUAACGCGUUAAAUCGACCGCCUGGGGAGUACGGCCGCAAGGUUAAAACUCAAAUGAAUUGACGGGGGCCCGCACAAGCGGUGGAGCAUGUGGUUUAAUUCGAUGCAACGCGAAGAACCUUACCUGGUCUUGACAUCCACAGAACUUUCCAGAGAUGGAUUGGUGCCUUCGGGAACUGUGAGACAGGUGCUGCAUGGCUGUCGUCAGCUCGUGUUGUGAAAUGUU